GAUCAAUAAUGUUGUUUAUUGUAUAAUAAAAUAAACAACUUAAACAGGAAAAAAAAAUAAAGAGUUCAAAACCCGAGGUAAAAAUUAUUACUCAGGUUGCAUGUUUAAUAGGUUAGCCCGAGUUGACUUGGAUUUUUUUUUUGUUCUUUUUUAAUUUCUUUUUUCUAUUUACUUUUUGUGGAGUUAUCUUGAUCUCAUAACCCGGGUUAACCUAGAUAGUUUUUUUUUGUCAUUUUUUUAAUUUUAUUAUUUAAUAUUAGAUUGAUUAGGAAUAAGUAUUCAAACUUUAUUUUAAUUUGCUUUCUAUAAGGUUAUUAUAGUUUCAUUACCAGGAUCAAAGAUUUGAUAAAUUAACUAGGACAAUCCAAUAUAUCAUUGUCUCAAUAUUUAAAAAGAUAUGUUAUUCAAUAUAUCACUUUAUCAAUAUUUAAUAAAAUAAUUCAUCUAAUAUGAAUUAUAUUUUGAGUUCAUAUUUUUUUUUUUUAUCAGAAAUCAUUUUAGCAAUACUUGAAAAAAAAAUUAUAUGAAAAACAUUUAUUGGAUCCACAACACAGUAUUGAUUGGUAAUCUAGUUUAUACUAUGAUAAAAUAAACGACUUAAAAAUAUUUAAUAAAAAAAUUCAUCUAAUAUAUAUUAUAUUUUAAAUUUAAUUAAUUUUUUUUAUUAAAAAUUAUUUUAACAAUACUUAAUAUUUUUUAUCUGAUUUCACUCACAACACAACACAGCAAUGAUCAAUAAUGUUGUUAAUUUAUUGUAUAAUAAAAUAAACGACUUAAAUAGGAAAAAAAAAAUAAAGAGUUCAAAACCCGAGGUAAAACUGUGGAGCACUAUUUAGUACUGUUCAUACAAAUUUAUGGAUGCCACAGAAAUAUUUGGCUCUGGAGAUUCUCUAUCUCUCUAAGAAGGAGAAAAAAAGGAGCAGGUGAUAUGACAUAUCGAUCCGUAAAGUGCUAACCU
rnacentral:lncRNA from 1 species